GGCCUAGAGGACAGAACACUGGACUGGAACUCCAGUGACCUGGGUUCUAUUCCUGGCUUUGCCA
rnacentral:tRNA from 1 species